rnacentral:rRNA from 1 species
GACGAACGCUGGCGGCGUGCUUAACACAUGCAAGUCGAACGGAAAGGCCCUGCUUUUGUGGGGUGCUCGAGUGGCGAACGGGUGAGUAACACGUGAGUAACCUGCCCUUGACUUUGGGAUAACUUCAGGAAACUGGGGCUACUACCGGAUAGGAGCUCCUGCUGCAUGGUGGGGGUUGGAAAGUUUCGGCGGUUGGGGAUGGACUCGCGGCUUAUCAGCUUGUUGGUGGGGUAGUGGCUUACCAAGGCUUUGACGGGUAGCCGGCCUGUGAGGGUGACCGGCCACAUUGGGACUGAGAUACGGCCCAGACGCCUACGGGAGGCAGCAGUGGGGAAUAUUGCACAAUGGGCGGAAGCCUGAGGCAGCAACGCCGCGUGCGGGAUGACGGCCUUCGGGUUGUAAACCGCUUUCGCCUGUGACGAAGCGUGAGUGACGGUAAUGGGUAAAGAAGCACCGGCUAACUACGUG